rnacentral:rRNA from 1 species
CCCUUAGAUGUUCUGGGCUGCACGCGCGCUACACUGAUGCACUCAACGAGUUUACGACCUUGCCCGAUAGGGUUGGGUAAUCUUUUUAAAAUGCAUCGUGAUGGGGAUAGAUUAUUGCAAUUAUUAAUCUUCAACGAGGAAUUCCUAGUAAGCGCGAGUCAUCAGCUCGUGCUGAUUACGUCCCUGCCCUUUGUACACACCGCCCGUCGCUCCUACCGAUUGAGUGCUCAGGUGAAUAAUUCGGACUGCAGCAAUGUUUGGAUCCCGAACGUUGCAGCGGAAAGUUUAGUGAACCUUAUCGCUUAGAGGAAGGAGAAGUCGUAACA